rnacentral:rRNA from 1 species
UACGUAGGGUGCGAGCGUUGUUCGGAGUUACUGGGCGUAAAGGGUGUGUAGGCGGUUCUUUAAGUUUGGUGUGAAAUCUCCCGGCUCAACCGGGAGGGUGCGCCGAAUACUGAGGGACUUGGAGUAUGGGAUGGGGAAAGUGGAAUCCUGGUGUAGCGGUGAAAUGCGUAGAUAUCAGGAGGAACACCUGUGGUGUAGACGGCUUUCUGGACCAUAACUGACGCUGAGACACGAAAGCGUGGGUAGCAAACAGG